rnacentral:rRNA from 1 species
CCUACGGGUGGCAGCAGUGAGGAAUAUUGGUCAAUGGACGAGAGUCUGAACCAGCCAAGUCGCGUGAAGGAUGACUGCCCUAUGGGUUGUAAACCUCUUUUAUAUGGGAAUAAAAUGUUCCACGUGUGGGAUUUUGUAUGUACCAUAUGAAUAAGGAUCGGCUAACUCCGUGCCAGCAGCCGCGGUAAUACGGAGGAUUCGAGCGUUAUCCGGAUUUAUUGGGUUUAAAGGGAGCGUAGGUGGAUUGUUAAGUCAGUUGUGAAAGUUUGGGGCUCAACCGUAGAAUUGCAGUUGAAACUGGAAGUCUUGAGUACAGUAGAGGUGGGCGGAAUGCGUGGUGUAGCGGUGAAAUGCUUAGAUAUCACGAAGAACUCCGAUUGCGAAGGCAGUUCACUGGACUGCAACUGACACUGAGGCACGAAAGUGUGGGUAUCAAACAGGAUUAGAUACCCGGGUAGUC